UGGGGAAUAUUGGACAAUGGGCGCAAGCCUGAUCCAGCCAUGCCGCGUGUGUGAAGAAGGCCUUAGGGUUGUAAAGCACUUUCAGUGGGGAGGAAGGGUGUUGUGUUAAUAGCACAGCAUUUUAACGUUACCCACAGAAGAAGCACCGGCUAACUCCGUGCCAGCAGCCGCGGUAAUACGGAGGGUGCAAGCGUUAAUCGGAAUUACUGGGCGUAAAGCGCACGCAGGCGGCUUUUUAAGUCGGAUGUGAAAGCCCCGGGCUCAACCUGGGAAUUGCAUCUGAUACUGGGAAGCUAGAGUAUGUGAGAGGGGGGUAGAAUUCCAAGUGUAGCGGUGAAAUGCGUAGAGAUUUGGAGGAAUACCAGUGGCGAAGGCGGCCCCCUGGCACAAUACUGACGCUCAGGUGCGAAAGCGUGGGGAGCAAAACAGGAUUAGAUACCCUGGUAGUCCACGCCGUAAACGAUGUCUACUAGAUGUUCGUGGUCUUGUACCGUGAGUAUCGCAGCUAACGCAUUAAGUAGACCGCCUGGGGAGUACGGUCGCAAGAUUAAAACUCAAAUGAAUUGACGGGGUCAUAGUGUUUCCUG
rnacentral:rRNA from 1 species